UGGGGAAUUUUGGACAAUGGGCGCAAGCCUGAUCCAGCAAUGCCGCGUGCAGGAUGAAGGCCUUCGGGUUGUAAACUGCUUUUGUACGGAGCGAAAAGGUCUGCCCUAAUACGGUGGGCUCAUGACGGUACCGUAAGAAUAAGCACCGGCUAACUACGUGCCAGCAGCCGCGGUAAUACGUAGGGUGCAAGCGUUAAUCGGAAUUACUGGGCGUAAAGCGUGCGCAGGCGGUGAUGUAAGACAGGUGUGAAAUCCCCGCGCUUAACCUGGGAAUUGCAUUUGAGACUGCAUCGCUGGAGUGCGGCGGAGGGAGAUAGAAUACGGAGUGUAGCAGCGAAAUGCGUAGAUAUGCGGAGGAACACCGAUGGCGAAGGCAAUCCCCUAGGCGUGCACUGACGCUGAUGCACGAAAGCGUGGGGAGCAAACA
rnacentral:rRNA from 1 species